CGUGCAUCUCGCCUUGCAGGGGCUGGGUCUGGUGUUCUUCGGCCCUGAAGGCCUCCGCGCGCCGGCGAUUGCCACCGCCGCCUUUACCAUCGGCCCGCUGCGGGUGCAUCGCCAUCUACGCCAUCACCAUCCUCCUGAUCGUCGGGCUGUGGCUGCUGUUCGGCUACACGCUUUACGGCAAGGCGCUGCGUGCCACCGCGGUCAAUCGCCUCGGCGCCCGCAUCGUCGGCAUCCGCAC
rnacentral:misc_RNA from 1 species